ACAAAGGGAUUACGUCGACCCCCCGGUUCUAACUUAUUUAAUCCACACCGACGGGAUGAAGAGCAAAGAUGACCUGUGCUGACGAAAUACCGCUAAGACCGGCAAGCUAACCUUGCUGCCAGCUAGCCGCCCUUUAUUACUCUAUAUAUCGCUAAGACCAAUGGUUGCAGAGUAGGAAGACAAGAAUAACAAUGGUAAGUUUCGUAUCGUUUCAUUCGCAUCUGUUACACUACAAAAGAGGGAAUCGACUUUUGAAUAUGGUAAUAUAUUUGUACUCAUUUAGAAAAUGUUUCCGUUAAUUUUAUUUGUUAUAUUUAUACAUUUUUUAAAUCUUUAGUAAAUUCCUUUUAGUAAUUUUUUUAAAAUUGAAUAAUCCCCUGGGUCGUAAUGUGAUCUGUGCGAUAUUGCCGAAAGCAAAAAAAAAAAAAAAAAAAAAAAAUCAUGUAAACGCAUGAAAAAAUAUAAAAGGAAAUCUAUACAAAACUUUUGAAACGUUACAUAAAAAAAUAUCUACAGUUGGUUUGUUGCUGAUAAAAUAAUUUAUGGAAGCGUUAUGAUCCGGAGCUACACAACAACGACUAAGAAUGGCAAAACUUAGCGAUACGGUUUCAAAUCUCACAACGAAGAGAUGUCUAUUGAAAGCAUUAUUGCUCCCUACUCACGUCACGUGUUCACUUUUAACCCAUUAAAAACCCUUUUUACAAAGCGGUACUUAAUUUUAAUUCUGUCUACAAUACCCAUUUUCUAGUCUUCAGAAUUCUCUUUAGAAUUACAUAAUUUAAAGAAACAUUCUUAAAUUCGUAUUUAAAUAAAUUGUUAGAUUUUACUAAUAUUUUUUUGUUUUAGCAUUCAGUUAUUGAAUAUAAUCCUUUUUAUAGCGGAAUUGUAAUAUUUACUGGGUGUAGGUUUUCCAUGUCUACCUCACCGAUUUUAGUUCUAACGUUACCACAAUCCAAAUCAUUAACAUAAAGGCAACAUGCUGCUUUUUUCAUUCCGGAAUCUUUUAAACCAAUUUUAUGUAAUGCCUUGGAAGACCUAUGGCUGUCCUUUGUCACCAACAUGAAUCCUCUACUUAGAGAGACAGUUUAUUUGACAAGGGGGUCCACAUGGCUAACAGUAAGUUCAUUUACAAUGUUGAGCCCCAGCUAUGCUACAAGUCACUUACUCAAAAUGUCCUGAAGUGGUAUUGAAAUGAGUCAUGGAACUGCAAACUUAAACGCACAGCUAUGCAUGAAUGUUGCUUAAAAUAAUUGUGUGUGCUGAAUAAUUCAUUUGAAUUUGUAAAGAUUUUCGUGCUGUUAUCGUUUAGGUCUCGGAGGGGAGGCGUGUUUCAGCUAUUUCAAUUCUCGUUAGAACCAUUGUAAAUGUUCUGAUUUUUUUUUUUUUUGACUAGGUUAACCCCCAGAAGACUUGGUUGUAAAAAAAAAUUGUUCAAGCUUUCUUUCCUUCAUCCUAGCAUUUUGCCAGACGUAGUCUUCGCAAUGUAAUGCGACAUUAUAAUCGAUACGGUUCAGUAUGAAGGAAUUCAACUGUUAUUUCUAGCAGGUGACAAACCACGAUAAUGUUCCGUCUUCGGUUCGAUUGCUAUUUUUGUACCAUCUUUGAAUUUCUACUCAAACCAUUCUAUACAAUAUUCCUAUUUUUCUUUCGCCUACAGCUAGUGAAUUCUCCUCAUAUAGGAGGGGCUAGAGUUAAAAUGAAGUACACAUGCUGGAAACUCCAGGUAAGCCUUCAACGUACUUUAAGCAGACUCUGGGAAACGUGUUCCUUGAGCCAGAUUUGACUUAGACCCCACGGUUGUAAAAUAUAAACGUUUCAAAUUUUCUUUUUCAAUCAAGCAAAUUGACAAUCCGCGCAUUUAGUGUUUUGCUUAAUCAAUCAUCUGUAUUGUCUCUUUUGGAAAAGAGCUCAAAGGAAAUUCAUGACAAAAUGAAGCAGUCGGUCCUUUUCAUUGUUAUAUCUUUAAACAUCGUUAAAUACAUAUUUUUCUGAAAUAUUGGAAAAUAUUUCAAAAUUGUAUUGUACAGCAGAACUGAGAGCAAGAUGUAACUAUAAUCUCAGUUAAACGCAAGCAAGUCACUAAAAUUCUGUUAUAAAUUUAUCCGUUAUUUGAAUGUAAUUCUGUGAAAUUAAUUUCGUGUUGUACGUAAAACUACCUUUUUGUUAUAGAAUUAGGACUUUUGAUUAAACGACUGAUAAAGCAAAUCCCAGUAAAAUUUAAUUUGUAAUCUGUAAAUUUCAUAUUAUUUUGGUUAUAAGAACAUCUUUAUUUUUUUCAAUGAUUGUAUUGACAUUGCCGGUUUGAUAUGAUGCGAUUAUUGCUCAAUAUCUUAUUUUGCAGAUGAAAUACUUGUUGGAAAAUAAAUACAAACAAUUAUUACAGUCGGAUCGACCAAUCACUUCAUUGACCGAUGUGUGAACAAUGCUUCAGCCUGCAAGUCUUCUUGAUUUUCCAGUCUUAGUGGUGUCGCUGGUUCGGGAUUUGUAGCUUUUUUUAAUGAUGCAUCUGGUAGCAGACUUCAAGGACAAAACUAAAUUGAAACCUUCAGUUUAUCUAUCAUCACUACAGCUGUUGUAGAAUAGAAUUGUUCGGCUGUACUCAAUGCAUGAAGUGUCAUUGUUGGGGUGCCAAGGCUCAAUCUAGAGCCAUCCGCGGGAGUUUGCUAGUAAAUAAUACGAUUUAAUAUUUUCUAACGGAAACUGUAGCCUCGAGUAGGGUAGCAAGUUUGUAAGAAAGUCAUUUAAAUCGACAUUAAGAGAUGAUUCAACAUAGAAAUGCAGUAAUCGAGAGCACGACCUGAGCAAUUAGAACAUUUUAGUGCAUUAACGUUGUGUACCCAACAUCUAAAAUGUUUUUUACAUAUUUCAUAAAAUGUUUCAUGGGCAAUUAGAAUAGUCUAAAUUGGCAUGAGUAGUUGUCAUCAAUGACCUUCUGAAACACAUGAUACUGAUUUGGUUCAACAGAUAUUUCAUUUUUUGUCACGGGGACCCAAUAUAGAAGCGGCGGCACAAGGACAGAAUUUUCUUUAUUUGGCACCACGGCCACAAUACAGGUGGGGAGCAGUACAAGAACAGACAUAACACCACAAUUGGGAUAUAAAACAUAAAACGGAUGAGAAUGAAAUGUUAUAUAAAAAAAAAAGGAAAAAUGAAAUGGCUGCAUGGGCCCCAUUCCCAUGCAGUACCAUUUGAACGUUUAUACACACUAUUUACAAUCGUUCUAUUUUUCUAUUGUUUUUUCUUAAUCAUCUUUUUUUCUUUUGUUUUCCAUUGAAACGCAUUUACUUUUUCCUUUUUUUUCUUUCAACAAAACAAUUUUACUUUUUCCCAUUUUAUAUCUGAUGAAAGGCUCCACGUCUCUGAGUUCAAGUACGGGUGGCAGUUCAUCGAACUCCACCAACACUCCGGGCGGAUCAAUCUUGUUUCCGAACAUAUCUACUUGUCUAUUGUAUGUGUCUUUGUCGACCACAAUGGGCUUUAUAUUUUCUUAAUAUAUAUCAGUGGGCAAAUUCACACUUGUGAUGGGUCCUGGUUAAACAGGGGCUCAUUGUUUUGAACACUUUGUCGCAGUUCUUCCAUUUUGUAUCCUGUUUCUUACAAAAUAUCUGUUCAUUUGUCCAGUGUCUCUGUUCGGCUUUCGCAGAAGACAAUUGCUGAGAUCUCUUUAAGAUCACUUAGCUUUCAAUUUCACAGAGAGCUAAAUUUUAGGAUUCAUUUCCAAUUCUGGAUGAAGAAUAUCCUCGCUGAGUCUCUUGAUAUUUUUCCCAAAGAGUAACUGGUUUGAAAUUUCUUAGGCGGCAAUCAUUACUGCAAACAGAUCUCUGGCUUGAUUUGGAGAAAUUGUUGCAGUUGCUUCCUCCAGAGUCAUACUCUAAUGAUGAUCAUCUUCUGUAAGGCUAAUCUCGAUACAUACUUGUAUGUCUCUUGACAACCCCAUCAAUUGUUCUCAAGUCUUGAAAUGAUGUUGGGUCCCUCAUGUAAUAAAGCAACAGUCUGAGAAAGAAGCAUUCAGGAUUUCUUGGAUAGACUAUAUAUACUCUUCCAAGUAUAUCUCCCAUUUUGAUUCCAGAUUCGGUUGGAUGAGGUUCUUGCUUUUUCCUCUGCAAUUUUCCAACCUUUGUAGGUGUAGGAUUUGUAAACAUCAGGGUAGAGGAUUCUUCUUGCAAAGUCAUCACAGUUCGAAAAAUGCCUUUUAGUGUUAUGUUCGUAGUAGUUUCAGCCAGUUCUCUUGCAUUUUCUUCUAUGAAGUAAACUCUUUGUUCAUUUUCCAAGUGAACUGACAGGUGCUGAAAUGAAGGACUUCGGCCAUAAAUUGGAAAGCUAAGGAUUGUCCAGGCAGCCUCAAUGGAAGAGAUGUAUCCGCCUAUUUGAAAUUUUUGUAUUUUAUUUUCAUUUUCCAGACCAGAUACUGCUUAGUCAAUUCCCUUGUUAAUGUAUUUACAUACUUAUUUAAUUGACUUGCUACUGUUGCAGUACUCUACAUUUAUGUGAGUACCAAAUGCUUUGCCGAGUGGUGGGCAGAAAAGAAAUAACCCACCGAUUGUCAAUGAUAAUAACUUGUUCUCUUUUGUUCAGAGUGGAAGUGUGACCCCCUUCUGGCUUUCUUGUAUUUCGUAUAGCCAUCGAGAUCAGACUGUCUCUUUGCUUCAUUUUGUCAUGAAUUUCCUUUGAGCGCUUUUCCAAAAGAGACAAUACAGAUGAUUGAUUAAGCAAAUCAUUAAAUGCGCGGAUUGUCAAUUAGCUUAAGUGAAAAAGAAAAUUUGAAACGUUUAUACUUGACAACCGUGGGUUCUAAGUUAAAUGUGGCUCUGGGAACGUUUCUCAGAAUCAAACUGCUUAAAGUACGUUGAGGCCUUACUUGGGGCAAUAUAGUUUCCAACAGGAGUUCCCUAUUUGAAUACCCGCUUGUCCAAUGUGGAUGCAAAUUCACUAGCUGUAGACGAAAGAAAAAUAGGAAUAUUGUAUAGAAUGGUUUGACUAGAAACUCAAAAGAUGGUACAAAAAUAGCAAUCGAACCGAAGACGGAGCAUUACCGUGGUUUGUCACCUGCUAGAAAUAACAGUCGAAUUCCUUCAUACUGAACCGUAUCGAUUAUAAUGUCGCAUUACAUUGCGAAGACUACGUCUGGCAAAAUGCUAGGAUGAAGGAAGGAAAGCUUGAAAAUUUUUUUUUACAACCAAGUCUUCUGGGGGUUAACCUAGUC
rnacentral:lncRNA from 1 species